AAGAUUAAUUUUGAUCUGUGCUGCUAUUUCUGAGGCAUAAGCAGUUAGAUCCUGGCCCUGACCUCAUUCUCAAAAAGCUGCAAAGAGAAGGGGUGUGGCCAGAACCCAGGAGAAGGGCCUCUUCUCCAUUCAUAAACAGCUGAUUUAAGACUAAUCCCUGUCCAUUUGGCUCCCUGUGUGUGUAUCUGUGAAUGCUGAGCAUCUGUCAGAGCUGGCUAUAUAGGCCUAUGCCACCCAAAGCCACUGUUGCAGAAAAGGACUGGAAAGAAGCCCUUGCAAAUGGCAUCUACAUCAUUCUGUAAGGAACUCAAAAUCUAAGACCCCUGCAAUGGCAAUGAUUUCGCAGCAUCCAGAUGGCCAAUGUAGCUGAUCCUAAUUUGCUCCAGCUGCCUCCACUUGGAGUCAGUGAUGGGGACUAAUGCAUUCCUUAUUUAAGCAAAUCAGCCAGUGACAGGAGGAGGCCAGGAAUCCUGCUACCCUCUGAAGAUGAAAACUCAAAUAUCAGCAUCUCUCUGAUAGGGUAAGAGAGGGAAGAAAUCCAGGAGGGAAAUAACCUCCACAGCUCCCUGGCCCUGAAGACUCUGUUGAAUGGACAUGCAUUUGGGUCCACGUAUUCAGCUGGAAGGCCUCCUCUCAAUGAGAUACAGGAUAGGCAAACUGCCCCAUGAUGUACGAUGAAAUGCUCCCUGGGGAGAUGAUCUGCCUCUCAGUAUUAAGGUAACUGUGCACGUAGUCUUGAAACUUGCUAAAUGCCUCUUUAUCGUGUCAGGCUUGAUCACAUUGUCAGCCCAGAUCCAGGUGCUGCAGAAAACACAUCAAUACUUUGGAUGUGGCCAUGAAAAUAGAAUCCCCAUCAGAGACUUGUCUUCUCUAGGCCCCUAGCAAAGCCACCUUAGAAGUGUCAGUUUAGUCUCUCUCUUUCUCUAUCUCUCUAACAAAUCCCCAUUGUCUGAGAACUCUAAGUUUGAAAACACAAAAUGAUUACAUUUUAGUCUGCAUGGUAAUGGUAUUAUUAUAGAGCACCCCAAAUAGUCACCUAAGUAUUUAACAUAUCCUAUACAUAAGGCCCAAGAAAAACAGAAGAUGGGAGGCCACUUGGAGUCAUGAAAUAUACUCUUUUUUUUUUUUUUUUAGACAGAUCCUCGUUCUGUCGCCCAGGCUGGAGUGCAGUGGCGCGAUCUCAGUUCACUGCAACCUCUGCCUCCCAGGUUCAAGCAAUUAUCUUGCCUCAGCCUCCCAAGUAGCUGGGACUACAGGUGCCUGCCACCAUACCCGGCUAAUUUUUUGUAUUUUUAGUAGAGAGGGGGUUUCACCAUGUUGGCCAGGCUGGUCUCAAACUCCUGACCUCAAGUGAACCACCUGGCUCAGCCUCCCCAAGUGUUGGGAUUACAGGCAUGAGCCACUGCACCUGGCAAAAUAUACUCUUUUUUAUAGAGUCAUUCUUCUGUAGAUUAAUCCCAUGCUAUUAUGCAAUUAGUGAUAAAUCAUAUAGUACAGGUUUAGCCAAUAUAAAAUGAACUAUUGCCUAGAUGGAUCAUUAGUAACUGGGUAAAGAUAGAAAAAGUAGGGCCCUUAUCUCAAUAUCCUCUCCUUUCCCAAAAUGUCCUUCCUUUCUACAUAGUACCACUACUCUAAUAUCUCUUCACGAAGGGCUGAGGCCAUUGGGAAUCCUUUUGCAAGCUUCUAUAGUUUCAGGGACAAGGAGGACAGAAGCCCAAGGGACAUGGUAAAAUGAGGCCAAGGAAAGCACAGUACCCCAGAAAGCAAAGCAUCCCUGCCCUACAGCAGCUGAGUCAUAGAAUAAGACAAUAACCAAGCAUGUAACAAAGCAUUGUCCCACACAAGGGCUUGGGGGCAGCAGUGUGAUACACAGAUAAUUUGAGCAUUGCCUCUUAGGGCACUUCUGCUAGCUUGCUUGAGAGCCUGUCCUGGUUGCUAAACUUGCCAUAGUCUGAGCUCAACAAAUUACCUCAGCCAUCUUGGACAGUAUGAAUUGUCACCUUCUCAGAUUUACUGAAAACACCCAUAUACUGUGUGGAGAUAUUGAGUACUCGGUGUGCCAGAUUCCUAAAAACAAAAGCAAUUUGAUAAAUGUCAUUGGAAC
rnacentral:lncRNA from 10 species